UCGGGAAUUUUGGGCAAUGGGCGAAAGCCUGAUCCAGCCAUGCCGCGUGUGUGAAGAAGGCCUUCGGGUUGUAAAGCACUUUAAGCGAGGAGGAAUGGCUCUGGGUUAAUACCCUUGAGCAGUGACGUUACUCGCAGAAUAAGCACCGGCUAACUCUGUGCCAGCAGCCGCGGUAAUACAGAGGGUGCAAGCGUUAAUCGGAAUUACUGGGCGUAAAGCGCGCGUAGGCGGUUACGUAAGUUGGAUGUGAAAUCCCCGGGCUCAACCUGGGAAUUGCAUUCAAAACUGCGUGGCUAGAGUGUGGGAGAGGAAGGUAGAAUUCCAGGUGUAGCGGUGAAAUGCGUAGAUAUCUGGAGGAAUACCGAUGGCGAAGGCAGCCUUCUGGCCUAACACUGACGCUGAGGUGCGAAAGCAUGGGGAGCAAACAGGAUUAGAUACCCCAGUAGUCCCUGAGCGGGCUGGCAAGGCGCAU
rnacentral:rRNA from 1 species